rnacentral:rRNA from 1 species
CCUACGGGUGGCAUCCGUGAGGAAUAUUGGUCAAUGGACGAGAGUCUGAACCAGCCAAGUAGCGUGAAGGAUGACUGCCCUAUGGGUUGUAAACUUCUUUUAUAUGGGAAUAAAACGUUCCACGUGUGGGAUUUUGUAUGUACCAUAUGAAUAAGUAACGGCUAACUCCGUGCCAGCAGCCGCGGUAAUACGGAGGAUCCGAGCGUUAUCCGGAUUUAUUGGGUUUAAAGGGAGCGUAGGUGGAUUGUUAAGUCAGUUGUGAAAGUUUGCGGCUCAACCGUAAAAUUGCAGUUGAAACUGGCAGUCUUGAGUACAGUAGAGGUGGGCGGAAUUCGUGGUGUAGCGGUGAAAUGCUUAGAUAUCACGAAGAACUCCGAUUGCGAAGGCAGUUCACUGGACUGCAACUGACACUGAGGCUCGAAAGUGUGGGUAUCAAACAGGAUUAGAUACCCCAGUAGUC